UACAGAGGGUGCGAGCGUUGUCCGGAAUCACUGGGCGUAAAGGGCGCGUAGGUGGCGACCCAAGUCUGUGGUGAAAGCUCGCCGCUUAACGGCGAGUCGGCCGCGGAUACUGGGUGGCUCGAGCACUGUAGGGGCAGAUGGAAUUCCGGGUGUAGCGGUGGAAUGCGUAGAGAUCCGGAAGAACACCGGUGGCGAAGGCGGUCUGCUGGGCAGUAGCUGACACUGAGGCGCGACAGCGUGGGGAGCAAACAGG
rnacentral:rRNA from 1 species